GGCAACUCCAAGGCCUUAUAAAGACUAAGCUGAUUAGGGAUGGCUUCCUUUUUUGUGACUAAGAAAAGAUUUCUGACCAUAACUCUGAGAAGACUGGGAGCAAAUUACCCAGAGAAGCACAUGUUGCUAUGUGAGAUUCAGCAGAAAGAAACAAGGAGGGAUGGGGAGCCACUAGAGUUUAUGGAAGAAGACCAUGCGGUCAGACCCAUGCUUUAAGAACAACAAAAUGACAGAAGCGGUGACAAGAGAAUGGAUUGGAGUGCAUCGUGAUGGUCCGGGCCUAGGGUUCUGCCCCAGAGUGCUGACACUGUCAGAGGAGAGAAGGAACAUUUCCAAGAGCAGUUACCAAGGCGGAGCCCCCAUGCACCAGACUGGAUGGAGGAGAGUGUGUGAGGAGGAAGGCUGAUGCCUGGGGGGCGUUGGGAGGCCUGGUGAUGCUCUGGACUGUGAAAGGAAAGGAACAGGGAAAUGGAAAGAAGGGGAGACUGUAGGAGGGAAGUCCAUGGGAGGACUUCUCCUAAAGAGGGCUACUGGUUAGCAAUGGAAUUAGAGGGAGGUUUGUUCAGGCUCCAUUGGAUUAGAUGGUGCUUUUAGACACUUUUAAGUGUGACACAUUGUGAUCUUUUAAUAUCUUCAUCUUAAAAUCUUUUUCUUCACCCAAAGACCUGUAUAUGAAUGAGGGAGACAGGAACAAAUAAAACGCUGAGAUGCUGGGCUAAAUUUC